GUGUGGGCCAUAGUGGGCGCUAUUAAAACAAGACUGAAAGUUUGGGGUGGGUCAUUCACACGCGCUGCUUUUGCUAUGCUUGAACCCCAUUUGUGGCUUUUAAUCUUUUGAAAUCGCUGUGGGAUUUCAAUAUAUAUAAAGCUCAAUGGAUUCCGGUGCUAUGUUGCGUUGCAUCUAUUGGAUUACUCUAUUGAUCGCCACUCUUAUUCAUGGAACAAACGCGGAUAAAAGUUCAGCCCUUUGUUUGAAAUCCGAAUUCUGGAACAGAGAUGUCGCACAAUGUGUACCUUGUCAAAUAUGCAAACAGUAUCCGAAAACUCCAUCAUGUGACACAUGCCCACCCAUAGAGCCUUCAGAUUCCUGGAGGGUGGCAGCAAUUACCAGUUUAUCUGUCCUGGCAGCCGUAAUUGUUUGCGGAGCCUUGCUCAUAGGCAUUCUAGUGCAUCAAUUCAGGUCCAAGAGGACUUUACGUGAACCGAUUGAAGAGACAACAGGACCCCUUUAUCAAGUAUAGGAUCUUCAUAAGCUCAUGGAACUCAAGCUGACGAAAAUGAAAAUGGACUGUUACUCCAGUGAAUUAAUGCUCCAGUUGGUAAACGCUGGCUAGUACCUCAACCACAGAGUGUUCUAUGAGUAGCAUCUGAUUUGUCUAACUUAUUACAUUAGUAGGCUAUGUCAUGCAUAGCAAAUGGUUAUGCACAAAAGCUGCACUGAGACCUUCCUUGUCACUCACUGUGCAGAAUAGGUUUGCAAGCCUUGGUGCUAAGUGACAUCCUAUGGACAGCAUGAUAGCACUGUUUUUGCAGAAAUUUGAGGUCAUUCAUGUUGCACUUAGUGCACUGUAGAUGCAUUCCCACUUGAAUAUUCCUUGUUAGAUUUGUGAACAUGAUAAACAAAUAACCACAAACCGUUUAAUAUAGUAGACUUAGAGAUCAACUUUUUUAUACAAAUAUGCCUCCCUAAACAGAUUUAGUAUGGCACAGCCAUUUGAAUGUAUUUGUAAUCAUUGUUUGUACAGUUUAAUUAUCUAUUUUUAUAGUGUUGGAAUACUACGCACUGUAUAGAUGUAGCCCUUUGUACAACAAUGUUCUGACACUGACUGGCUCAGCAGCCUGUCUAUAGCAUUGAUGAACGUUCUGGAGACACUGAAGACCAGCGAAGCAACAGAAGGUGAUAACCUGAAAGACAAGAGUCGCCAGCUGACAUUAACAAACUCUUUGAGAAAGAGUCGCAGGUGUCAGAUUCCAUCAGAUUUUUGCUGCCUUUAUACGCAUAAGAGAUUAGAUAGUUUAGAGUGAUAUUUACAUGUAAGUAGUGAUAUUUACAUACAUGCAAUACAUUUAAUCUCCCGUGUUUUAUAAUUUCAGCUUACUAAAAUGUUUUGAAACGCAGUUUUAGAUGCGUGUAGCCAGCUGUGGGCAUUAUGGAAUGUAUAUAUUUAUAUACAGCAGAUGCUGAGUAAUCAACUUGUUUGAAUGACAAGAGGUUAAUCUCAUGAAACCUGUGAAGAACAUGUUUGAGUAACAUUUCAACCCAGAAUCAAAAGAAUUCAAUAAGAAAUAUUUUGCUUAAAGAAUUUGUUGCAUUGUUUUCAAGAAAACUUAAGCACACUUUAUACCCCAGUUCCCAAGAAUACUUUAU